CUACGUGCCAGCAGCCGCGGUAAUACGGAGGGUGCGAGCGUUAAUCGGAAUAACUGGGCGUAAAGGGCACGCAGGCGGUGACUUAAGUGAGGUGUGAAAGCCCCGGGCUUAACCUGGGAAUUGCAUUUCAUACUGGGUCGCUAGAGUACUUUAGGGAGGGGUAGAAUUCCACGUGUAGCGGUGAAAUGCGUAGAGAUGUGGAGGAAUACCGAAGGCGAAGGCAGCCCCUUGGGAACGUACUGACGCUCAUGUGCGAAAGCGUGGGGAGCAAACAGGAUUAGAUACCCUGGUAGUCCACGCUGUAAACGAUGUCGAUUUGGGGGUUGAACUUUAAGUUUGGCGCCCGUAGCUAACGUGAUAAAUCGACCGCCUGGGGAGUACGGCCGCAAGGUUAAAACUCAAAUGAAUUGACGGGGGCCCGCACAAGCGGUGGAGCAUGUGGUUUAAUUCGAUGCAACGCGAAGAACCUUACCUACUCUUGACAUCCAGA
rnacentral:rRNA from 1 species